rnacentral:lncRNA from 10 species
AGAAGGAGGAAUGACUCUUGAAGAUACAGAGUUGGAAGUUGUCCUAGGGGAAAAGCCAUAGUUUCUAUAUAUUUUCAAGGCUUCCUUCAAGGAUCCAGAGCCAACUUUGCAGCAUCAGAAAAAGCAGAUCCUAAUUCCAUGAGUGCUUGUUAAAUAGCCCCCCGAUUCUGGGCCCAGCCUCAGAGACAGGGAUCAGCAGGUAUAAGAUGGGAAAGAGAUUCAAAUGCAGUGGAUCCACAGAACCAGCAUUUAGGAACCGCCAGAGCCUCCUCUCACUCUAAAUCUUAGGUAGGGCUUGGAUACGGUUUGAGAUGAGAAGAAAAAGU